GCCGCGACCCCCGCGCCGCGCCCGGCCCGGCCCGGCCCGAGGGGAGCGCCCGGAGCGCCGCGCUCGCCCCGCUCUGCCCCGGGCCUGGAGGCCGGCAUUACAUAACGGCACCGGAGCGAGCAGCUGCAGCAUCCCAGCAUGCGGAUUAGGGAUUACGUUGAUUCAGCAGAUUGUCCUGUGCAUGUCUGAGAAAGAUUACACCAGCAGAGUUAAGAAUACCCGUUUGCUGUGAGCAAAGUGGAGCUGUGAGCCACCUUUGGGUGGGGACCUUGCUGUUACAGCCCAGUGUCACAGGGAGCUGCCAGUUCUCAUUGUCCUGUAUGGACAGGACAGGUAAAAAGCUAGAGAAGCCACCUGAGGUCCCAUGAAAACCAGAACCAGCUGCUUAUAAAGUGCUGUUGCCUCUGACCAAGAACAAAAAUUGGUGUGGGAAUAAUAUGCGAACAGAUCAUGAAGAACUCUGUGGCACCAGUUAUGGAUCUUUUUGUCUAAAUGGAGGGAUUUGUUAUAUGAUUCCUACUGUAUCCAGUCCAUUCUGCAGGUGUGUUGAGAAUUACACAGGAGCUCGUUGUGAAGAAGUUUUGCUGCCCAGCAUCAAAUCCCAAACAAAAGGUGACCUGUUUGCAGCUUUCUUGGCUUCCCUUCUUCUUCUAGGAGUUCUUGUAAUUGGAGCAUUCUACUUCUUUUGCAGGAAAGUUUCCAUUCCAAGGACAAGCUCUUCAGAGUGUGGUGCCAACCUAGUUGAAACUACAAGCAGCAAUGGCUGCAACAAAAUAACAACAGCCUAAAGCAUUAGAGUGGAAGAAUGGUGGAGAAACAACAUGCAGAGCAACCCUAAGAAUCUAAAUUGUAGAGGGUGACAUGGAUUUCCCCAGAGGAGCUGAAGCCUAUCUUGAUUCAAUAGUUUCAAAAUUGAUAUUUGUGAUACAUGUCCUGAAUUUGGCUUGUUCCAGACACCCUUACCACAUGUACGGGGAAAACCCUCACCUUUCUCCCAGCUAAUACUUACUUUUAUUUAUUUUUUUUUUAAUUGUAACAGAACAUCAGCAGGAGGUACCAUUGGGAGUUUAUUGCCCAGGUUCCUGGCACACUAUUUUAAUUAGAAUUAAAGGGAAAUAUUAAGAAAAGAGAUUGGUAACGGUUAAAAUUUCUUAGGCAGAGUUUGGUGUACAUUUGUAAUACUAAACAAGACUAACAUCAAUCUACCUUGAUGGUUUUUAAUUUUGUCUGGCUUUCUUCUGAAAAUCUCACUUCUGAGGGAAAUUCAAACUUUACCUUGAAUAUUCCAGUUGACAUUUCAGAUAGCAGAAAUCAGGAAUUUUGUUCGUCAGGUCAAUUUUUGAUACAAACUAUUAUUGAGACAGGUAUCUUGGCUGAAAGAAAUGCUGCCCUUCUCCAAAGAUUUAUUUCUUUUGUUCACAUAAGCAUCUGUUGAUCACACUGAUAUAUUAUAUACCACACUUUGGUCUCUUACAGGAUUCUCUUACUCAGACAAAAAGAGGCCAUCUGCCAUGGUCCAUGUCUUUUUUUUGCCUUCAAAACACAAAGAGAAUGUCUGGUUAGUCAGAGGCAUAGAAAAUGUGAACUGAACAGGUUUUUUUUCAACUUAUUUCUAGCACACGAAGCAGAAACCAGCAAAAACUCAGACAUGUUCCCAUAAUGGCACAUUACCAAGCAGGUCAUUAUAUGGGACUUAUAAGGUUGUAUUGAAGGGAAGAUUAGCUGAGAAAAUUCAUUAAUUGAAAGGAGAGAAAAUUCAGAACAGAGAUUUCUUAUCUCCGAAAGAAACAAUCUGAAGAUGUAUAAGAACACAGGUGUAGAGAAAAUCUUUUGAGUAGUCCUGCUAUUUACAUUGGCCUCAACAGCUGAAUACUCAUUUAAGUAACUUUACCCAUUUUAAAACCUCAUGCUGGCUUCUUUUGAGAGACAGAAAUAUAAAUUUUGGCACUGCAAAACUUUCUAUCAAUUAUCU